ensembl:lncRNA
UCUAUCUAUCUAUCUAUCUAUCUAUCUAUCUAUCUAUCUAUCUAUCUAUCUAUCUAUCUAUCUCUGUCUUUAUAGCGAUAUGUAUUUCUAUAUCUACCUAUCUAACUAUAUCUCUAUCUUUAUAUCUAUACCUAUAUCUAUAACUAUCUACCUGAGAUGGAGGGCGAGAUGGAGGGUGGUUCCUCAGGUGGAUCCAUGAUUCCCCAGGUGGAACCGCGGUUCCUUAUGUUCAGAGCAGCUCUACUGCACGGCACAGCUCUGCUUGGCUAGUUGAAGAGCGCUGAGCCGUGGUUAGCGCUGAGCUAGCCGUGGUUAGCGCUGAGCUAGCCGUGGUUAGCGCCUCGUUGUAGUGCUGCAAUGCCAUCCCAAAAAAACGAAUAAUUGCUUUGAACAAUAUUAUUAUUAGGAUCAUAUUUAUGUUAUAUGUUGUUACUGGUUCUUAGUAGCAGUAAGCUAACUGGUUCUUAGUAGCAGUAAGCUAACUGGUUCUUAGUAGCAGUAAGGUAACUGGUUCUUAGUAGCAGUAAACUAACUGGUUCUUAGUGGAGGUAAGCUAAAUAGUUCUUAGUGGAGGUAAGCUAACUGGUUCUUAGUAGCAGUAGGCUAACUGGUUCUUAUUAGCGCUAAGCUAACUUGUUCUUAGUGGAGGUAAGCUAACUGGUUCUUAGUAGCGUUAAGGCUAUCUGUAGAAGGCUGUGUAGAGGCUUGUGUCAGGGUGAGGGCUGUGUGGAGGCUCGGGUCAGGGUAAGGGCUAGGGAGAGGCUAGGGUCAGGGUGAGGGCUGUGUGGAGGCUAGGGUCAGGGUGAGGGCUGUUUAGAGGCUGGGGUCCGGAUCCAGAUAUGUUUAUAGCAGCGUUAAAAACAUCCCGUUCCGUCCUCAGACUUGAGACCUCUGGCCGGGUCCAGCAGGUCAAAGUGUGUUCUGAUGUUUUCACCGUCAGGGAGUCUGAGAGUCUCUCAAGGGUCCCGAUAGAGGUGUUCUGGGCUGUGUCCUGUACUGCCAAGCUGGUUGAGCUUGUAGUUGUACUAGUGAAUGGGUAACGCACACACUAACACACACACAUCUGAAAACACACUGUUCAUUUGUUGAGGUAAAAUGUAACGUCAUAAAUGCAGAACAUCCCAUAAUAUUCCAUAAUUCUCUGUGGUUCUCCUCUUUCGACCCCGUAUUGUUGCUCUAACGUUGAUAUGUGGGCCGCUGCCGCUGGCUCCGGACUCUGCAGAACCUCUCAUUACCUCAGCCUCAUUAUCUCAGCCUCACCCUGACUAAGCAGAACCUCUCAUGACCUCAGCCUCACCCUGACUCAGCAAAACCUCUCAUGACCUCAGCCUCACCCUGACUCAGCAAAACCCCUCAUUAUCUCAGCCUCACCCUGACUCAACAGAACCUCUCAUGACCUCAGCCUCACCCUGACUCAGCAAAACCUCUCAUGACCUCAGCCUCACCCUGACUCAGCAAAACCUCUAAUUACCUCAGCCUCAUUAUCUCAGCCUCAUUACCUCAGCCUCAUUAUCUCAGCCUCACUCUGUUGGUGUUUCUUCUCGUUAGGAACCAGUAGAACGUAUUAGAUCCAUGUUUCUAUUUCCCUUCAUUGGGGCCUCAGCUUGUGGAUUGUGAUGACUGAAUUCAUGAAGUUUCUAAUGUUAGGAACAGCCAACACUCUGGUUAAUGGAGGCUGUCCUCCCUGGAGGUCUGUGGGCCUCUGAAGACCUUGAGGACACACCCCAGGCCUUGUUUUGUGUUGUGUUGUGUUGGGUUGCGUUGUGUUGUGUUGCGUUUUGUUGUAUUGAUGAUGUUGUUGCUUUGUCCCAGACAACACGUGUCAAACUCCUAAGAUUCACAUUAAAUACCAAGUUGUUCAUCAAACUGGAGUGCAUCAUUUCGGUAUUCUGAUUUGUGUGCGUGGGUAGUAUAU